rnacentral:rRNA from 1 species
AUUGAACGCUGGCGGCAUGCCUUACACAUGCAAGUCGAACGGCAGCACGGGUGCUUGCACCUGGUGGCGAGUGGCGAACGGGUGAGUAAUACAUCGGAACAUGUCCUGUAGUGGGGGAUAGCCCGGCGAAAGCCGGAUUAAUACCGCAUACGAUCUACGGAGGAAAGCGGGGGACCUUCGGGCCUCGCGCUAUAGGGUUGGCCGAUGGCUGAUUAGCUAGUUGGUGGGGUAAAGGCCUACCAAGGCGACGAUCAGUAGCUGGUCUGAGAGGACGACCAGCCACACUGGGACUGAGACACGGCCCAGACUCCUACGGGAGGCAGCAGUGGGGAAUUUUGGACAAUGGGCGAAAGCCUGCUCCAGCAAUGCCGCGUGUGUGAAGAAGGCCUUCGGGUUGUAAAGCACUUUUGUCCGGAAAGAAAUCCUUGGCUCUAAUACAGUCGGGGGAUGACGGUACCGGAAGAAUAAGCACCGGCUAACUACGUG